UACGGAGGGUGCAAGCGUUGUCCGGAUUUAUUGGGUUUAAAGGGUGCGUAGGUGGCGUUUUAAGUCUGGUUUGAAAGCAGGCGGCUCAACCGUCUGAUGUGGCUGGAAACUGGGGCGCUUGAAUGAGUUGGCGGUAGCCGGAACGGGUCAUGUAGCGGUGAAAUGCAUAGAUAUGACCCAGAACACCGAUUGCGAAGGCAGGCUACUACGACUUGAUUGACACUGAGGCACGAGAGCAUGGGUAGCGAACAGG
rnacentral:rRNA from 1 species